rnacentral:lncRNA from 1 species
AUUUCAUUCCCGGAGCAUGCUUUUAUGUUAAAGUCUAUCAAACGAACCUCCUAUCCUAGAACCUGCUUUCAUAAGGACUGCUGGUAAAGAAAAGGGACGAAGUGGAGAGCACUGACAAGUUGAGGGAAUGCUGGAAAACUCCUUUGCUUAUCCUUUAUCCUUCUACUACAAACGAGAAAGUUGGAGAAAAAAGGGAAGUCUAGGCCAUCCAAUUAUAUUCCUUACAAGCCAAUAGCAGAAAAAAAAAAAAGCACUCUGGUUUGCUGCUCAUCCUGCUUGAGAUCGG